rnacentral:hammerhead_ribozyme from 1 species
AUCCAAUUGACGAGUCCCAAAUAGGACGAAACGCGCGUCCUCGAU